GAGCGAGGGCUUUCUUCCCGCAAGGGAGGGAAGUUCCUAGCGGCGAACGGGUGAGUAACACGUGGGCAACCUGUCGUCUCGUGGGGGAUAACACCGGGAAACCGGUGCUAAUACCGCAUGUCAUCACCGGUCGAUUGGUCGGUGAGAAAAGCAGCAAUGCGCGAGAUGGUGGGCCCGCGGCCUAUCAGCUAGUCGGUGGGGUAACGGCCUACCGAGGCUUUGACGGGUAGCUGGUCUGAGAGGACGACCAGCCACACGGGGACUGAGACACGGCCCCGACUCCUACGGGAGGCAGCAGUGAGGAAUCUUCCGCAAUGGGCGCAAGCCUGACGGAGCGACGCCGCGUGUGGGAUGAAGUCCUUACGGGAUGUAAACCACUGUCGGAGGGGAAGACCAAAGGACGGUACCCUCCAAGAAAGCCCCGGCUAACUACGUGCCAGCAGCCGCGGUAAU
rnacentral:rRNA from 1 species